GAUGAAGAACGCAGCGAAAUGCGAUAAGUAGUGUGAAUUGCAGAAUUCAGUGAAUCAUCGAAUCUUUGAACGCACAUUGCGCCCCUUGGUAUUCCAUGGGGCAUGCCUGUUCGAGCGUCAUUUGUACCUUCAAGCUUUGCUUGGUGUUGGGUGUUUGUCUCGCCUUUGCGUGUUGACUCGCCUUAAAAUAAUUGGCAGCCGGCGUAUUGAUUUCGGAGCGCAGUACAUCUCGCGCUUUGCACUCAUAACGACAGCGUCCAAAAGUACAUUUUACACUCUUGACCUCGGAUCAGGUAGGGAUACCCGCUGAACUUAAGCAUAUCAAUAAGCGGAGGA
rnacentral:misc_RNA from 1 species